rnacentral:rRNA from 1 species
AACCCUGUUCUCAUUUCAACUUAUUGAGGAUAAGCUCAAUAAGAAAUAAUAGAAAAUAAUAAUAUUUAACUAGUAACACAGGCCUGAGGUUAGCCACUGUCAAGAAACUUGUUAUAAAGUAGCCCAAUAAAAAUGGAAAAUAUUUGAUAUUUUUAACUUAAAUAUAUUAAGAAAACAACAGAUGAAAAUAAACUUUAUCUGUUAGCUUAUGCUAAAAUGAGUAUUUUUAAACUUGUAACAUUUUAAGCAAGAAAUAAAUAAUGUUUAAUUCCGAUCAUUUUUAAAAAAAUAAAGUAAGGAGAAGGAACUCGGCAAAGUUAAGCUCCGCCUGUUUAUCAAAAACAUGGCUCUUUGACCUAUAAAAUAAAGAGUCAGACCUGCCCAGUGAAAUUUUAACGGCCGCGGUACUCUGACCGUGCAAAGGUAGCAUAAUCAUUUGCCUUAUAAUUGAAGGCUAGUAUGAAAGGUUCGACGAAAGCAAAGCUGUCUCCCCCUUAUUGAUUAGAAUUUGACCUUUAGGUGAAGAGGCCUAAAUAAAAUUGAAAGACAAGAAGACCCUGUCGAGCUUAAAAAUAAAUCAGGAAAUAAGACCAUAUAGUAAAUCAAUUAAAUCUACUACUGCUCAUUUUUUUGGUUGGGGCGACCGGGGAACAAAAAAAGCUUCCUUUCCAUUUUUAGCUUGUAAGCAUUGAUCCAGCAAAGCUGAUUAGAAAAAUUAGUUACCGCAGGGAUAACAGCAUAAUCUCCCUUGAGAGACCUAAUCGAAAGGGGGGGUUGUGACCUCGAUGUUGGACUAGAAUAUCCUAAAGAUGCAGAAGUCU